rnacentral:rRNA from 1 species
UACAGAGGGUGCGAGCGUUAAUCGGAAUUACUGGGCGUAAAGCGCACGUAGUCGGCUUUGCAAGUCGGGUGUGAAAUUCCCGGGCUCAACCUGGGAACUGCAUCCGAGACUGCAUUGCUAGAGUAUGGGAGAGGGAAGCGGAAUUUCUGGUGUAGCAGUGAAAUGCGUAGAUAUCAGAAGGAACAUCAGUGGCGAAGGCGGCUUCCUGGACCAAUACUGACGAUCAGGUGCGAAAGCGUGGGGAGCAAACAGG